GUUCCUUGGCUGAAGUUUGGGUGGUUUUUGGGUGUUCCUUGGGUGUCCCAUGGGUGUCCCUUGGGUGUCCCUUGGGUGAAGUUUUGGUGUU